GUACCUAUAAGUAUAACUGUUCUAGUUACAAUAUGUAUACAAUUGUGCCUUAACUAUUUGCCUUUCUUUGGCAACGUUAUAUAGUGAAAUAUGCAAUCUAUAAUUGUUUGGAUUAUUUCCUUGGAACAGUUGGAAGCUCUAAAUUAUUCUAAAAAAAUGGGCUGAUAGUGGGACAGGUGUGGAAGGUGGAAUACAUAAAGUUAUUUAAUUUAUAUUUAUAACCAAUGAUAACGAAAAACGAUUCGGAGUGAAGUUCGGUUAUACUUAUUUUGAAAUGCUAUUUUUUCGUCAAAAUUUGAUUUUAAAACUUUUUUUUUUUUACCACUAAGAACGACUAAAAAUUUUCAAAAAUUUCUG